ACCACCCCGGGAGGCACUGCAGGUGUGGCUGCUCUGUCACAUGUGUUUCAGUAGGGGGCAGAGAGGAGAGAGGAUAUGUCUAUGCUGUUCUGACCUAGGAAGAUCUGAAUAAUUAGUUUCCUAACAUU